AGCUCAGCACUCCCUGGGUUCAGUUCCCUAAUACAGUCAAACAAACAAACAUUCUGUUGUUCCUUUCUCAUCCUUGUCUUAACCCCAGUCUGAUGUUGCUCACCCAGGAUGCUUUCCAGAGCAUUACUCUCAGGACCUCGGAACUGCUGCUUCUGUUCAUGGACUGAUACGAGUCCUCGUCUUGCUGGUUCUUGCAGAGGCCGUAAUUCUCAGGACUGGGGUGGAUGCUUUGAAGGAGCAUGUUGCUAGACACUUGUGAUGGGAACUCAUUUUUCUUUCUUGAAGUACUGGAGCAAUCUGUAAAUGUGACUUCUCAGCUCAGAUCCUGUGAAGCAGAGCUGUGCUGAUGAAGGAAGCGCAGCAGAAGAGAUGCCUGUCACAUUCAAGCCCACUCACACUUCUUCACGUCUCUUCCCCCUGCUGGUCUCAAGUUGAGAAGAAAGAGCUAACACAUUAAAGCAACCCGGAUAUCCGGAGAGUCCAUGGAAGACUGCUGCCCUAGAACAAUUCUUCACUGUGUAGUCAACUUGCAGAAGAGAAGUGGAUCAGACUCAGGACCUUGUGCUUUCAAGGCAGGUGGCGGAACCACUGAGAUAAAUCCCUGGCCCCCUAAUUUUCUUUUUAAUCCACACAUUCCCACCUGGAGGAGAGUAACUCCAGGGCUCUGCACGCCAUCUUCCACUAAAUCUGCGCUACAGGUUUUGGCCUUUUUAGAGUUUGGUGAAUCUAAUCUCAAGACCGUUGUGGAAGAUUCUUAGCUCAACGUUCAGAGGAUCAACAGAAACUUGAGAUUAUUGCAGCAGCAGUUCCUGCCUACAAACUAAAAACUAGAAGAACUUCCCAGAAUCCAUCAGGAUUGGUGCAGUACUGAACACAUCAGUCUUGUGAGUUUAAAGUAUGGUCAGAGGACCUCCUGUAUAAUUAAGAAUAAAAAAAUCAUUGUCCACAUUCCAAAUACAGUAAGAGUGGGAGGGAAGAUGAAUGGCACUUUCUUCAGUUUCCCACAUGACUUUUAAAUAUACUAUGUUUUAAAACCAUUGGAUUAAGUGUUAAUUUGUUUAAAUAUAUACAUAUACCCAAAAAAGGAAUGGAGUUAGAAACAGCAAUAUACUUCUCCAGAUA
rnacentral:lncRNA from 1 species